CUGAGACUGCAGCGGGAAAAAUCAAGGAAAUGUCACUUUAUUCAUGUCCCCAGAACCCUAGGAAAGCAUCAGCAUUCAAGGAAAGUUGGAUUGAUAGUUCAGCUAAAACUUUGUUAGCCAAGCCUGUGGGCCAGCAGCAUAGGCACUCUUAAAAGUGUGUUAGAAAUGCAGAAUUUCAGGUCCCAUCCAGACCUACCGAAUCAGGCCUACACUUUAACUCCCAAGUGCUCUGUAAACCCCUUAAAAUUUGAAAAGCAGUGAUAUAAAGAGCAGUUCAAAUCCCAGAAUUUCUCCCAUAUUCCACGGAGCCAUGCAACUGCUCCCUCAACCCUAGAUAAGAAGUUUUCUCCUGGAUGAUGUUGAACCGAAGAGGUCCCAGAUUCAGGCACGCUGGCAUCGCUGAAGACAGGAGUGAAGCAACAAAGUACAGGUAUUCUGCUCGUCUACAUAAUGAAGAACAAGGCCCACUGUGCCCUUAUCCUGUUCAGCAAUCCAAAGUCUAGCAGCAGCCUCCCAUUCCCAGGUAGAACAUUAGAAAUUUUUCUAUGGGGGAAACCUACUAGCCCAAAAGAGAAGACCUACACAUACUUGUACACAUGCAGAAGACUGACAUGGGGAGAAUCCAGAUUAAGAGUCACCUCGUCAAGACUAUAUUUUCAGGGAUCAUUUCUACAGUGCACUACUAGAGAAGUUUCUGUGAACUUGUAGAGCACCGGAAACCAUGAGCAGGAAGUGCAGCGUUCUCUCCUGAGCAUGAAGCCGGCUCUUGGUGUGGCUUCGCUGCAACUGCCAUUGGCCAUUGAUGAUCGUUCUUCUCUUCUCUGGGAGAGUAAGAGAGAGAGGACACAGUCUG
rnacentral:lncRNA from 1 species